AUUGAACGCUGGCGGCCUGCUUUACCCAUGCACGUCGGCCGAGUGGCGCACGGGUGAGUAACGCAUCGGAACGUACCGAGUAAUGGGGGAUAAAUGUCCGAAAGGACAGCUAAUACCGCAACUUAUUCGCGCGGCCGAUGUCUGAUUAGCUGGUUGGAGGGGUAAAGGCACACAAAGGCGACGAUCAGUAGCGGGUCAGAGAGGAGGAUCCGCCACACUGGGACUGAGACACGGCCCAGACUCCUACGGGAGGCAGCAGUGGGGAAUUUUGGACAAUGGGCGCAAGCCUGAUCCAGCCAUGCCGCGUGUCUGAAGAAGGCCUUCGGGUUGUAAAGGACUUUUGUCAGGGAAGCGGUACCUGAAGAAUAAGCACCGGCUAACUACGUGCCAGCAGCCGCGGUAAUUC
rnacentral:rRNA from 1 species